CCUACGGGUGGCAGCAGUAGGGAAUCUUCCACAAUGGACGAAAGUCUGAUGGAGCAACGCCGCGUGAGUGAAGAAGGGUUUCGGCUCGUAAAGCUCUGUUGGUCGUGAGGAAAGAUAGAGGUAGUAACUUGCCUUUAGUUGACGGUAAUUACUUAGAAAGUAACGGCUAACUACGUGCCGGCAGCCGCGGUAAUACGUAGGUGGCAAGCGUUGUCCGGAUUUAUUGGGCGUAAAGCGAGUGCAGGCGGUUCAAUAAGUCUGAUGUGAAAGCCUUCGGCUCAACCGGAGAAUUGCAUCAGAAACGGUUGGACUUGAGUGCAGAAGAGGAGAGUGGAACUCCAUGUGUAGCGGUGGAAUGCGUAGAUAUAUGGAAGAACACCAGUGGCGAAGGCGGCUUGCUGGACCGUAACUGACGUUGAGGCUCGAAAGCGUGGGGAGCGAACAGGAUUAGAUACCCCAGUAGUC
rnacentral:rRNA from 1 species